CCGAUCUGGAUAUACCAAAUAUAACGUCUCAGAACACUCCAGCUCACAUGUUAGUCUGCUCCAAGCAUUCCCACAAAGGACUGGACUGAGGGGUCAGCAGCCUAAGCAAGAAUGACCAGACCUCCCUCUCCCCAGCAACCUCCUCCAUCUUAUCCGGGGGAAGACCGAUGCAUUCCAAGGCCAGCCGAGAGAUAUAAUGUCUUCAGCCGAUCUGCCCAGGGCCAUCCUACAUCAUACAUCUGGAUGAAUGGAUGGAAAGCUCCAGGGAAAAGCUAUGAUUCUGACAAGUAUUGUCAACAUAUAAAAAGUACUGAAUAUAGAUUUAAAAUAUCAUGUCCUCUCCUUCAAGUUCAGUAGAUUGAGCUGAAGGUAAAGUGCUAAUAAUAUAUGGAGGUAUAUUUAACUAUGUUUCUUACUUUCAUUGUUUGUAUUGAAAGCAUAUAGAAAUUUAAGGGAAUGAUAUAUGGAUAUUCUUAGUAUCACAUUACUGGUGACCUCUGACCUUUAGAACCUUUUAAUUCAAUAACAGUUUCGACACAUGUACAGUGUUCUGAAUAAGUAUGAUUUUAUUAAAAACAAAAUAAUCUUGUGUUCAAAACAAAAUCACUCAAUGUUAAUAAACAUUUAAAUUAAUUUAUUAAACAAUGAAAUGAAUGCUACACAUGUACUGUGCAAUACAGAAAAACAAGACUGCAUUCAAAAUUAUGUUAUAUAAAAUAUGUUUCGACAGGGCAAAUAACAAAAGCCUGCAUUUUUUUAGUUGUUUUUACUGUUUAAAGAGAACAAAGAAAACAAAAUGAAUAUAUAGGAAUAAAAUACUAUUCCCUUCAAAGUAAAUAAUGCCCAGAAAGUGAGCUGACUUGGCCAAGGUUUGCGCUCUCAGAGUGCUUCUUGUUUUAUUUAUUUUCUGCUUUGGUCAUGAAAAAAAGAUGCUUUAAGGUUUAGAUACACGUUAAAUUAAAAAACUAACUCUGUGUGGUCAGCAUUGUGCUGCCCUUCCUUUUUUCUGUUUACAUUUAACAUAUUUUUUCGCCCUCAUGACAGACAUGAUGUCAGUAGUCUAAAUAAUUUAGUACACUUUUAUUGUUAUUUCGUCAUGAUGCAGACUGCUCACUCUGAGCAGUGUAACCACUUUGUGCUGCUGCAGUUGUAAAACACAUGGAAAUGAUGAUGAAUCUCGUGGUUAAACGUGGCUGUGAUGUACAGUAUGACACAGUUAUGCUGCCUGAGAAGGACUUUCCAUGUGUGGGAUGGAAUGGGAGGGGCACAUGGAGAAUUAAGACCUACACUUAAUUUCCUCCCAGAUCUGGAAUCCAUUCAGACAAUUUUGCCUGGAAGUCGUCGGCGUGAUUGUGUGUGUGAUUCUGAGGUUAAGUGAUAUCAUGUUGCUUACGAGGGUGUCAGUGAGUGGAUUUGGUGUAGAGUGCUUCCUGUAAACCAUGGACUAUGUUUAACUAUACUUAACUAUGUUUGUUAUAUUUUAGUCAGUGAGUUGUCGCGUCACUGUUCGACAUAAGAAAUCCUAAACAGAUACCUUGUUUAACCCUUUAACAUCCCAUUCUUUUUCUAAUAACAAACAAUAAUCUCGAAUUUCUUCUUUGGAGUCUCAUGAUGCAACAUUAACAAACUAAGGGUAGCAUUUA
ensembl:lncRNA